GCACGCUUUUUUUUCCUUUUUUUAUUUUUUUCCUUUCUUUCUUUUUUUCGAUAUGCCCAGAUUUCAUUAUUGAAUCUCGUGGAAGCUGCGCAGAGACAUGUUUUCCAUGGGUGUCUCCUGACAUGUUUCAGUAAAUUGUGAAUGUCGGUGAGGGUAACGCGCUCCAGCAAAGUGCUUCUGGCUGAGGCACUGAUCGGAUGAGUGGGAAGACGGAGCUAUUCCUGCGGCAGCCUUAUUCGUGUAAGCGGAGUUACAUUCAAGCCGGAGAUACGAGUGGCCCUCACCUUUGAACCUGCUUCCAAAUUGUUCCCACAUCCCGGAUGUGGAUAAAACAGCCCCCGCUGCUGGGCCCGGCUGCGUACCCUCUCCUCUCGCAGCUCUAGCGAGAUAGAGAAGCUGAAGGAGCUUAAUGAAAAGGACUUGGAGGUACCAGGCUAGAGACAAGCAUCCAGAGGUUCAGAUUUGCUGCUAUUGGAGUUACUGAUUCUUUGGCCACUGAUUUAGAUGGACAAAGAAUGAGGCUGCAGAAGAGUUUCAGGCGUAAGGCUUUUGUCAAAUCUGCUUCAGAAAUGCCUAAAAUCUCCCCGCUUACAAGAAAGCUUUUGUAG
rnacentral:lncRNA from 1 species